rnacentral:rRNA from 1 species
UACGUAGGGUGCGAGCGUUAAUCGGAAUUACUGGGCGUAAAGCGUGCGCAGGCGGUCUGUUAAGACAGAUGUGAAAUCCCCGGGCUUAAGCUGGGAACUGCAUUUGUGACUGGCAGGCUAGAGUAUGGCAGAGGGGGGUAGAAUUCCACGUGUAGCAGUGAAAUGCGUAGAGAUGUGGAGGAAUACCGAUGGCGAAGGCGGCAUUCUGGACCGACAUUGACGCUGAGGAGCGAAAGCCAGGGGAGCAAACGGG